rnacentral:rRNA from 1 species
CUUACCAUGCAGUCGAACGAUGAUCCGGUGCUUGCACCGGGGAUUAGUGGCGAACGGGUGAGUAACACGUGAGUAACCUGCCCUUGACUCUGGGAUAAGCCUGGGAAACUGGGUCUAAUACCGGAUAUGACCGCUCCGCGCAUGUGGUGGUGGUGGAAAGCUUUUGCGGUUUUGGAUGGACUCGCGGCCUAUCAGCUUGUUGGUGGGGUAAUGGCCUACCAAGGCGACGACGGGUAGCCGGCCUGAGAGGGUGACCGGCCACACUGGGACUGAGACACGGCCCAGACUCCUACGGGAGGCAGCAGUGGGGAAUAUUGCACAAUGGGCGGAAGCCUGAUGCAGCGACGCCGCGUGAGGGAUGACGGCCUUCGGGUUGUAAACCUCUUUCAGUAGGGAAGAAGCGAAAGUGACGGUACCUGCAGAAGAAGCGCCGGCUAACUACGUGCCAGCAGCCGCGGUAAUACGUAGGGCGCAAGCGUUAUCCGGAAUUAUUGGGCGUAAAGAGCUCGUAGGCGGUUUGUCGCGUCUGCUGUGAAAGACCGGGGCUCAACUCCGGUUCUGCAGUGGGUACGGGCAGACUAGAGUGAUGUAGGGGAGACUGGAAUUCCUGGUGUAGCGGUGAAAUGCGCAGAUAUCAGGAGGAACACCGAUGGCGAAGGCAGGUCUCUGGGCAUUAACUGACGCUGAGGAGCGAAAGCAUGGGGAGCGAACAGGAUUAGAUACCCUGGUAGUCCAUGCCGUAAACGUUGGGCACUAGGUGUGGGGGACAUUCCACGUUUUCCGCGCCGUAGCUAACGCAUUAA